GUAAAAAAAAAAUUAAAUAUUUUAAUUAUCAUUUUCAUUUUUCAUCGUUCCUCUCCAUUUCCAACCAAUUUAGAAAAAAAAUAUUUUGAAUUAAAAUUUCUCUUCAUUUUUCCCAUCCUCUUCUUUUCUCUUCAGUUCUCCCUUAAUUCUAUUUGAUGUUCAAAUAAAAAAAUUUAAAAUAUUUAAAUAUUUUAAUCAUCAUUUCAUUUUUCUUUGUUACUCUCCAUCUCUCACCAAUUUAAAGAUAAAUAUUUUAAGUUAAAAUUAUUCUUUAUUUCUCCCCUUCCCCUUCAUUUCUCUUCAAUUUUACCUUCUAUUCGAUGUCCAAUAAAAAAAUUUAAAAAGAUUAAAAUUCUUUUAUUUUCCCUUCUCUCCAUUUCUCUGGAUCCAAGCAAAGGGAUAAAAAAAAUAAAAACAAUAAUAAUAAAAAAUAAAGUGCUGCUGCCUGCUGAAGUAAAUAUGGUGUAAGGUAAAAGGAGUAGCAGAGAGGAGAAGGAGAGAAGGUAAGAAAAAUUAAAAAGAAAAAAUUAAAAAAAAAUUGAACUGCGCAACUGCUGAAAGGCUGCGCCAUGUGAGACUUGAAAGUAGA
rnacentral:misc_RNA from 1 species